GGGUACAAGUCGAUGGUGGCUCCAGUGUGAAUUUAAUGAACACGGAUACAAUGGAGGACUUGGAUCUAAAACAAUUGCUACCUACGACAUUGCUAUUACAAAUGGUAGAUCAUAGUCGGAUAAAGCCAAUAGAAAUCUUAUGCAAUAUUACCAUUGUAAUUGUGGGAUUGACAUAAAAAAUCAAUUAUAUUGUAUUUCGAUUACAGAGUUCUACAUUAUCGUAUCCCAUUUUAUUGGGCAGACCUUAGCUUUAUCAAGCCAAAGCUAUAAACGAUUGGGGCCGAGGCACAUUGACAAUUGAAAAAGACCGUGACCAAAUUAUUUUACAGAUGUAUCUGGUACAAUAUCAUGGAGAAU
rnacentral:lncRNA from 1 species